GCGGGCGUAGUUCAAUGGCAGAACCUCAGUUUUCCAAACUGAUGACGAGGGUUCGAUUCCCUUCGCCCGCU
rnacentral:tRNA from 2 species